rnacentral:lncRNA from 1 species
ACAGACGACAAUAAUAAAUUUAGACGCCAUUUUCUGUCAACAAUUCUCUGGCUGGAUCUGCUAAAGAUUGCUUAUUAUAAGUAAAAUAUUGUGAUUAGAAGUUUAAUUAUUUGUAAUAUAUCUUCUAUUGUAAUCGCUUAAACUUGAUCAACAAUAAAAAAUGUGCGCGACCGUCGAACUAUUACAGAAUGUGUAUUAUAUUGUAGGAAGGAGCCAGACUUGUUUACUUGAGUUUUCAAGUUGAUUUAAUGCUUGGAAUAUCGGCUACAACCGUUUGAUUUGAUAUGGAAUAACUUGGAGAUGUUGGGUGGAUCAAUACCUGAUUAUAUUCUGAAAUUGAGCUUCAACUAUGGAAUUUAACUCUACACAUCCAACAUCCAAGGCUUGGAAUAUUGUUUACACAAAACCUCUUGUUUGGACAUUGAACUUGGAACAUGGAAAAUGUUGUCAAUGGAUUCCACUGGAAUAUUCAAUGAA